rnacentral:rRNA from 1 species
UGGGGAAUUUUGCACAAUGGGGGAAACCCUGAUGCAGCGACGCCGCGUGAUUUAGAAGGCCUUCGGGUUGUAAAAAUCUUUUGUAUGGGAAGAAAAUGACAGUACCAUACGAAUAAGGACCGGCUAAUUACGUGCCAGCAGCCGCGGUAAUACGUAAGGUCCGAGCGUUGUCCGGAAUCAUUGGGCGUAAAGGGUACGUAGGCGGAUAAGCAAGUUAGAAGUGAAAUCCUAUAGCUCAACUAUAGUAAGCUUUUAAAACUGCUCAUCUUGAGGUAUGGAAGGGAAAGUGGAAGUCCUAGUGUAGCGGUGAAAUGCGCAGAUAUUAGGAGGAAUACCGGUGGCGAAGGCGACUUUCUGGCCAUAUACUGACGCUGAGGUACGAAAGCGUGGGUAGCAAACAGG